UCCCAGGUGGUCUAGUGGUUAGGAUUCGUGGCUCUCACCCACGCUGCCCGGGUCCGAUUCCCGGUCUGGAAA
rfam:Ciona savignyi cont_21680, whole genome shotgun sequence.